rnacentral:rRNA from 1 species
UACGUAGGGUGCGAGCGUUGUCCGGAAUUAUUGGGCGUAAAGAGCUCGUAGGCGGUCUGUCGCGUCUGCUGUGAAAACUCAGGGCUUAACCCUGAGCUUGCAGUGGGUACGGGCAGACUAGAGUGCGGUAGGGGAGACUGGAAUUCCUGGUGUAGCGGUGAAAUGCGCAGAUAUCAGGAGGAACACCGGUGGCGAAGGCGGGUCUCUGGGCAGUAACUGACGCUGGAGGAGCGGAAAGCCGUGGGGAGCGAACAGG